CCUACGGGUGGCAGCAGUGGGGAAUAUUGCACAAUGGGGGAAACCCUGAUGCAGCGACGCCGCGUGAGUGAAGAAGUAAUUCGUUACGUAAAGCACUAUCAGCAGGGAAGAAAAUGACGGUACCUGAGUCAGAAGCCCCGGCUAACUCCGUGCUAGCAGCCGCGGUAAUACGCAGGGGGCACGCGUUAUCCGGAUUUACUGGGUGGAAAGGUAGCGUAGACGGUUCGGCAAGUCUGUCGUGAAAUGCCGCAGCUGAACUGCGGAACUGCUUUGGAAACUGGCGAACUAGAGUGCGGGAGGGGGAAGCGGAAUUCCAAGUGUAGCGGUGAAAUGCGUAGAUAUGAGGAGGAACACCGGUGGCGAAGGCGGCUUACUGGACCGUAACUGACGUUGAGGCUCGAAAGCGUGGGGAGCAAACAGGAUUAGAUACCCUUGUAGUC
rnacentral:rRNA from 1 species